rnacentral:ncRNA from 1 species
UAAAUCGUAAAGCAUAUGAAAGUAUGUGACACAAAGCUAUAGGGUCUAAGGCUUAAUUAUAAGCUAUGACAGCCAGUUACCA